rnacentral:rRNA from 1 species
CCUACGGGCGGCUGCAGUGGGGAAUAUUGGACAAUGGGCGAAAGCCUGAUCCAGCCAUGCCGCGUGUGUGAAGAAGGCCUUCGGGUUGUAAAGCACUUUCAGUGGGGAAGAAAGCCUUGGGGCUAAUACCCUCGAGGAAGGACAUCACCCACAGAAGAAGCACCGGCUAACUCCGUGCCAGCAGCCGCGGUAAUACGGAGGGUGCGAGCGUUAAUCGGAAUUACGGGGCGUAAAGCGCGCGUAGGCGGUCUGAUAAGCCGGUUGUGAAAGCCCCGGGCUCAACCUGGGAACGGCAUCCGGAACUGUCAGGCUAGAGUGCAGGAGAGGAAGGUAGAAUUCCCGGUGUAGCGGUGAAAUGCGUAGAGAUCGGGAGGAAUACCAGUGGCGAAGGCGGCCUUCUGGACUGACACUGACGCUGAGGUGCGAAAGCGUGGGUAGCAAACAGGAUUAGAUACCCCUGUAGUC